rnacentral:tRNA from 1 species
GUCGAUAAAAUAUAAAUAUAAAGUUUCUAACUUUAUAAAAGCAUUUCAAAUGUUUUUUAUCUU